GUAGGUUUUGCCAUAGCAUUGGUGAUCUCCUCCAUCCUACUAAUAACAUAUUGCUGCUGCCAUGAUCGUGGUCAGCAGAAUGAAUACGUUCCAACAGCAGCCCGGGACUGAGAAAAAGCAGCAGGUGAAACAGUCCAGGAUAACUGAUCAGAUGGGUUCACAUUCCAGGAUGGCCCUGUGCUGAAUUGUCUUGAACUUUGAUAAAGACGUUUUAUUCUUAAUAUACUUAAAAAAUACAAAUAAUUUUUAAAAAUUAAAUUAAAUAAAAAAUUACCUUAAUAUAACCAAAUGCUAGGAAUGUAAGCUUUUAAAGCUCAUGUAUGACGUAGACAUCUGUGUUAACAUUAACUUUUACACUCUGUUAUCUGGUGAUUUGCUUUCUCUGUAUACUUUUUGCUUUGUGUAAGUAAUCUGAGACAAACCUCAUGUAAUCUCUUUAUUUACACUAGUUUAAAAUUAAAAUAAAAUAAAUAAAUAAGCAGACUCCUCUGUUAAUUAAGUUUAAUUAUUUUAUUAAUUUGUCUCUGUUAAACCGAGUCAAUACUUUGAGACUUGUUCUGUAUUGUAGGGGAUUAAUUUUAAAACAUAUUCAUUUAAAACUUAUUAAAGCUAAUAAACGGUGAUUUUUGGUGAUUUUAUAAGGUUAAUGUAUUGAAAAGAUGGAUUGUUAAUUGGAACUAAACGAGAACUUGUUGAAUAUCUGUACCAUACUUUAAUAGCUCCUCAAUAAAAUUCUACUGUUUGUUCUUUA